CCUCGGACGACUUGGCGCUCCGGGACAGCAGCAGACGCCCAAGCUCCGGCAGCGCAGAGCCCCGCCGGGGGCCCGGGGGGCUGGGAGCCGGGGAUCGCGGGGACGGAAGUGGGGGACCGAGUCUCGCGAGCCCGGGCCCUCCUCGCAGCUGGGGCCCCACUGGCGCCCCCGCGGGAGCGCUACGGGAGAGGCGCCUAUGCGGCUGCAGGUUUUAUUAUGGAGCUGUCAAGGUAGAAAGAGUUUGACUCUUCCACAAUAAUUUGGCACCCAGCGUGGGGCCUCAGAGAAGACUCAGGACCCCAAAGGAGUUGCCUGAACUCGGAGCGAAGAUACCAGUGGGGCCCAUUGAAGCCUCCCAGACUUCUAGCUUCUCCCCCGAUGGAACUGGUUAAGUUCUCCUGAGCCCCAGAUCGCCCUUUGGUUGACAGUCCUUCGUUUAGUGUGAGCUGGUUUUUCUCCUAGGAAGUUGUUGUUUAAGGAUUCUAAUUCUAGUUCAGAGACACAUUCUAAAGGGUUUUCUUUAUUGCUUUUUCUCCCAAAAUUAAUCUUGAUUCGGCUUGUCUGCGCAUUUGUGUGAGGAAUUGAACUGUUGUUUUCAUAGGUAAAUGAGAGACUGAGUUUUCUCAACUCCAAAGAGAAAGGCAUUUGCUCCUCCCAGCCAAAACGUGCUCCUGGGUGACUGGGGGCCUUGUGGGAGUGUCUGGGGGGGGGUUGACAUCCUGUGACAUGCAGCAGCCCUAUGGGGAAAUCCCCAACAAAAAUUAAUUUUAAAAAUGGCUUGUCCAGGAAUGCAUAUAAGGACUGAUCACCCAUCAUUUUGAGCCCUCUCAAAGGUAAUAGACCUCUGGAGAGAGAAACUGAGACAUGUAACAGGGUGGAAACAACUCAGUGGUGACACAUGGUGGGGUCCUGCCCACAAGCAGCACACAUUGAUCCACCACACAAAAACCCUAGGCCACAGCUCAGUUCCUACUUCUAAGAAAAAAAAAGGUGGGAAACAAAUGAUCUAAGAAUGAGGAGAAAACAAGGAGAAUGACCUCAUUUCGGGCACUCUGUUGGUUUUAUGGUGCGUCUACUUGCCAGAGCUUAUGUAAAAUGGAAAUAUAAUGAUCCUUGUGCACAUUUACAUUAAGGAAAAGAGCCCUAAGGUCAACCUGUACACUAUAGAGUUCCUAAGUUCUCUUCUUCUCUAUAUUUUCUGCCUGCUUUAAAUCUGCUUUUACUUUUGUACUGAAAUUAAAAACCACUGUUUGGAUC
rnacentral:lncRNA from 1 species